rnacentral:rRNA from 1 species
UUCAGUAUUGAUACUAUUUAGGUGCCUCAUGAUAAGCUUCUUGUUCUCAGAAGCAAAGCAAGGCUGAACUUGGUUAGCAUUUGGAUGGGAAACCACCUGAGAAUAUCAGGUGGUUUCGAAG